rnacentral:rRNA from 1 species
AUACGGAUGGUGCGAGCGUUGUUCGGAAUUACUGGGCGUAAAGGGCGCGUAGGCGGCGAUGUAAGUCAAAUGUGAAAGUCCUCGGCUUAACCGGGGAAGUGCAUCUGAAACUGCAUUGCUUGAGUAUGGGAGAGGAAAGUGGAAUUCCCGGUGUAGAGGUGAAAUUCGUAGAGAUCGGGAGGAAUACCGGUGGCGAAGGCGACUUUCUGGACCAAUACUGACGCUGAGGCGCGAAAGCGUGGGGAGCAAACAGGAUUAGAAACCCUGGUAGUCC